rnacentral:rRNA from 1 species
UGGGGAAUAUUGCACAAUGGGCGAAAGCCUGAUGCAGCGACGCCGCGUGAGGGAUGACGGCCUUCGGGUUGUAAACCUCUUUCAGCAGGGACGAAGCGCAAGUGACUGUACCUACAGAAGAAGCACCGGCCAACUACGUGCCAGCAGCCGCGGUAAUACGGAGGGUGCGAGCGUUGUCCGGAAUUACUGGGCGUAAAGAGCUCGUAGGUGGUUUGUCGCGUUGUUCGUGAAAACUCACAGCUUAACUGUGGGCGUGCGGGCGAUACGGGCAGACUAGAGUACUGCAGGGGAGACUGGAAUUCCUGGUGUAGCGGUGGAAUGCGCAGAUAUCAGGAGGAACACCGGUGGCGAAGGCGGGUCUCUGGGCAGUAACUGACGCUGAGGAGCGAAAGCGUGGGGAGCAAAC